AUAUAUAUAGGGGAGCGUUAAAAUGAAAAUCACCUUCAGUUGUAAGAACUAUAAGAACCACUCUCCGUCAAUCAUAUUCUUCCAACAAAAAGGGUAGUUUAGUCAUUUACCCCAAAUGUCAUUCUCUACCUUUCUCCACAUUUAAAACCACCUGCUUUUUAAAAUUGUCAGAUUUAUUUAAAACCCUCUUUUGUCUCUCUCUCUACUCAUUUGAAACUCACCCUCACUCAAAUCUUCAUCCUCUCUCAAAGAACUCUUCAUCAUCUUCAUCAAAUUCCGGCGAGAUCACCACCGCCGCCAUUCUGAAUCAAACCCCAACCCACAAUACAAAACACAAAAUAUUCUUUAUAAAGGGUGAAGAAAUUAAAAUUAAGAAAUUGAAAAAGGUGUUGAAGAACAAGCACACAUCUUGAACAUGACGACGUGCUCAUAGGUGGCCUGGCCAUGAUCUUUGAUCAAAACCCACCAUACCCACAAAUCCUUUUCAACACCCACCUAUCUUUUAACCCACUAGAUUAAUUUCUCUACAUCUUUUCAUAUAUUUUGUGAUAAAAUUGAUGUCUUUUGUUGAAUUUUAGUUGACCCUUUUUGUUUGGGAUGGAGGGUAUGAUGAAAAAGGGUGUUAAUGUUGAAGAUGACGAUGUUGAUGGUGACGACGGCAGCCGGCCGACGCCGGAGCUGCACCGACGAUGACUGCAGUAGAGGUUCGGGUUCACUUCAGAUUUUGUCGGGUUUUUGGCUCGGUUUCGGGUCUCGGUCAAAGCUGGUCAGCCACGGUUCGGGUGUGGUUCGGGUCUCGGUCAAAGCUGGUCAGCCGCGGUUCGGGUGUGGUUUCGGGUCUCGGUCAAAGCUGGUCUCACUUCACCGCCGGUCAACAGCAGUCAACCACGGUCAAAACCAGACCUGGUAACAAUUUAAACAAUGCGAAAAUCUUGUUUAUAUAGUUAUAGAUUUUUAGUUAUACGCGACCCGAGCUCGAACUGACUGGAUUAGAAAUUUGUUAUGUUUUGACAUUUCGACGAAAACUAUAUAUAGUGAUAAUUGUGAUUGGUUUA